rfam:Picea glauca, whole genome shotgun sequence.
GCAGGGAUAGCUCAGUUGGGAGAGAGUCGGACUGAAGAUAUGAAGGUCGCGUGUUCGAUCCACGCUCACCGCA